rnacentral:rRNA from 1 species
AAAUUGAAGAGUUUGAUCAUGGCUCAGAUUGAACGCUGGCGGCAGGCCUAACACAUGCAAGUCGAACGGUAACAGAAAGCAGCUUGCUGCUUUGCUGACGAGUGGCGGACGGGUGAGUAAUGUCUGGGAAACUGCCUGAUGGAGGGGGAUAACUACUGGAAACGGUAGCUAAUACCGCAUAAUGUCGCAAGACCAAAGAGGGGGACCUUCGGGCCUCUUGCCAUCGGAUGUGCCCAGAUGGGAUUAGCUUGUUGGUGGGGUAACGGCUCACCAAGGCGA